UACGGAGGGUGCGAGCGUUAUACGGAAUCACUGGGUUUAAAGGGUGCGUAGGCGGCUCGGUAAGUCAGGUGUGAAAGCCCACUGCUUAACGAGGCAGGUGCGUUUGAUACUGUCGGGCUUGAAACGGGAUGAGGCAGGCGGAAUGUGGCAUGUAGCGGUGAAAUGCAUAGAUAUGCCAUAGAACACCGAGUGCGAAGGCAGCCUACUGGGCCUGUUUUGACGCUGAGGCACGAAAGCGUGGGGAGCAACCAGG
rnacentral:rRNA from 1 species